UCCAGGUGGCUCAAGUGGUAACGAGUCUUGUCUGCCAAGCAGGAGGCCUCGGUUUGAUCCCUGGAUCAGGAA
rnacentral:tRNA from 1 species